UACGUAGGGUGCGAGCGUUGUCCGGAAUUAUUGGGCGUAAAGAGCUUGUAGGCGGUUUGUCGCGUCUGCCGUGAAAAUCCGGGGCUCAACCCCGGACUUGCGGUGGGUACGGGCAGACUAGAGUGUGGUAGGGGAGACUGGAAUUCCUGGUGUAGCGGUGAAAUGCGUAGAUAUCUGGAGGAACACCGGUGGCGAAGGCGGCAUCCUGGACCGGCAUUGACGCUGAGGAGCGAAAGCCAGGGGAGCAAACGGG
rnacentral:rRNA from 1 species